AAUAUUGGGGACUGAAACCCGAGAGUGAGCUUUAACAACGCAUUGGGUCUUUUCUUGUUCGAAAUUCCAACCGAAGCAGUAGCAGUAGGGCCAUUUUUAAAGCCUCAAAACUUUUUUCCUUCUUGCCGUUAGUCGUUUACCAGAGGUUCUGUGCCCUAACGUCCAACUGAGGAUAGGGAUCUCCGCAGCUUACAGGCAGAAAGAAAAGUAUUUCUUCCGUCUCCAGGAUACUAGAAGUUGACUUCGCACACACUUAGGAGUUGUCAAAAUUCUCACUGCUGAUUUAUUAUAAAAGUUAUUUAUUUGGGUAAGUGGGGUGCAAGGACAGACGUAUUGUUCAUCAGCUUCAUACCUGUCUCAGUUUUGAAUAUGAUUGACAUGGCAUGGCUUAGCGCCAUGUUACUUGGAGCAGGAUGCCUUGCUUUGGGUUAUAUUAUUGGGAUGCGACAUUCUUCUCGCACUUUUCUCUCAAACAGAGCAUCUGGUGAUACCGAAACUAUAAUUGAUGGGAAAAAGAGAAAAGGGGCCAAGCAACCUCUUGAAGUAGAAAGGCUGGCUGAGAUCCUUGAAGAUUUUAAAAUGGUUUUAGUGGUCAGGAAUGACUUGAAGAUGGGAAAAGGGAAAAUAGCUGCACAAUGCAGUCAUGCAACUCUGGGUCUCUACAAGAAGCUUCAUAAUAGGGCACCAAAGGCUUUAAAUAGAUGGGAGAUGUGUGGACAGGUGAAGGUGGUGGUGAAGAUUGAAAGUGAAGAUGAUAUGUUGGUUUUGCAAGAAAGAGCAAAAUCAAUUAAUAUACCAACACACAUUACAAUAGAUGCUGGGAGAACCCAAAUUGCACCAAGUACAGGGGCAAGCUCAUUGUUGAUGGAGUUGAGCGUAAAGGGCAUUUGUGAUCAUUUACUGCCUAGACAAGAAGAUUUUACUUGCCAAUGAAAUGAUGCUGAAGACCUUAGGACCGACCACCAGACCACAGGAAUACAGACUCGAGGACAGUGAUGGCUAUACUUGGACCGGCUGACAUGGUUGACAAUGUAACUGGGGGAUUGAAACUUUUGUAGUCACUUAAUUCUAACGCUUUAAGGGCCUGCCUCUGCAGUCUGCAGUAUGGAACAAGAAUGAGAAAACACCAUCAGAGGGAAGUUGGGAAUUCAGAAAUCACCCAUGAUAAUGAAAACAUUUGUUUUAAUCUCUAUAACAUUUCUAUCAUGCAAUGCAGUUUUAAUACUCUACUUUUUCCCCAUCUAAACUGCCUAGCCACAUGAAAUUACUCUGUUUAAGACUUUGAUUUACAAUAUAUAAAUCUACUAUGCUUUAUUUACAAAAAAAAAAAAA